rnacentral:lncRNA from 1 species
CCCGGGCCAGGCUGAGUCACGGGUUCGCCAAGACAGCCCACAGACUAAGCACAUUUCUUCUCUUUUCCGGUCCAUAAAAUCCCCAGAAUGGGCCCCACAAGAGCCCCACCUGGAAGACUCUAGGUUCUCAUCUUCAUGCCCCGAUGUAAGGAGAGUGGUCCAGCAUGUGAAGACUCCCAUUGCCUGCAUCAAGGAUGAAUUCCUUCAUCUGAUACCAAGACCUGCCAUGAUAUUGUGCCACCAUCUCUCCCCAACCUUAUUUCUCAUGACUCUCAAUACCUACUCAUUGUUCCAUUCAAGCUGACUUGAUCAUUGUUUCCCCCUCUAUUCCCAAUGUUUACUCCUGCUUAAUGAUUUUGUCUAAAUCUGAGAUACCUUUUCCUCACCUCUUCAAAUUCUGCGUAUACUUUAAGGUCCAGUUCAGAUCCCACUUCUCCAUGAAGUCUUCACAAAAUAGUCCAAAAUGCAAUGAGCUCUUGUUUAUUAUCUUAACUUCUCUGCCACAUUAGUUUGUGUACUAUACCACUU